AGUCAGCUCAUCAUUCACUGUCGAGGUCCCAUUUUUAGCAAGCUGUGCCUGCGAAUUCACAGACACAUCAGCUCAUAUCUGGGCUGAUUAUCUAACCGUCAAGGAGCUUCUGCACCAGGGUGGCUGGGCUGUGCAGAGUACAGAGGGCCAGGCAAAUUUUCCUGCAGGUCUUCUGGAGGGACACCUAAUCACAAGUGACAGAGAGGCACAACUGGAAAUUUGAAGAGCCUGUUGUAAAUGCUAAGGCUGGUUAGCAUGGCCAACGAAGAUGUGGCUAAACAGUUUUGCUGUAAUGGAUGUAUGUCGCAGACUCUCCAUCUCAAGAAAAUCAGAAAGAACAGAGUUACGUCACUCCUAGAAGAAGCUUCAGAGAGCUUGGCUGCAGGUAUGAUGUCCACUUUGAUGCUUUGUUGUCUAUUCCCUCUUUCCUGAGUGCUGACGUAGCAGCUGCAUGUGUUGUUUUUGAUGUGCUGUGGUUGUAAAUCUUUCUUUUGAUUCUCUCUCUGCUGUGUUGUUCAAUCAAAUCAACCUGGGCAACAUCACCAUUAGUCAGACCAAGCCUCACACAGACUUGCUGAUGACGCAACACCCCAUACUUUGAUUAGCUGAAACUCACAUGAACCUGCACAUUACAAAAAUAAGAAUGUCACCUUUUUACAUCAUUAAUGUUACUACUACUACAACUACUACUCCUUCUUGUACUUAUUUGGCAUGAAACCAUAAAGUUAGGUGCAGGUUCUUGCAGAAACGUCAGCAUGUGUUGGCACCACCAGUGAAGAAACAAAAUUAAUCUUUUAUUAAUCUGUGGGAAAGCUGUGUUGAAGUUGAAGAGAAGAGAGCAAGAGACCCAGUUAUCAGAUCAUCGGCCAAAGUUUUCCUUGAUUUCUAACGCCAUUGAAACAGCAGAAGACAAAAUGAUGUCCUUUUAGUAUAAAGUACCACCUUGUACCGAUAGGGGGCAGUGCUGAGCUGAUCCCCAUAGGUACAACGGGAAAGAGAUGCAUUUCUACUCAUUGAAUAGAAAACAAUCAGAUAAAAAUACAAAAAUUACAGUCGACAUAGAAGUGUUUCAUAAUUAAUCUCCUCCUUGAUGAUCAUUUCUAUUGAAGCAGUCAAACUUCUAGAAAUAAAGCCAAACAAGGAAGAUUUUAUGACAGUAAGAAGGAUAUGCACAUUAUGUACAAAUACAGCAAAUAUCAUCAGUGAUUUUCAAUUUUAAUUAAAAAAAGAAAGCUUGCCGAAAAAUAAUAAAAAAUUAUUAUUUCACAUUAUGUAAGGUUUCUUUCUUGCAACUGCAUUAAUCAGUACGAACUUUAUUAAGGCAUAAAGAAAAACUUUUAAAACAA